GCCCGGCUAGCUCAAUCGGUAGAGCGUGAGACUCUUACGUUCACGUUUCCCAUCUCAAGGUUGUGGGUUCGACCCCCACGUCGGGCU